AUACGGAGGGUGCAAGCGUUAAUCGGAAUUACUGGGCGUAAAGCGCGCGUAGGCGGUUUGAUAAGUCGGAUGUGAAAUCCCCGAGCUCAACCUGGGAAUUGCAUUCGAUACUGUCAGGCUAGAGUGUGGUAGAGGGAAGUGGAAUUUCCGGUGUAGCGGUGAAAUGCGUAGAUAUCGGAAGGAACACCAGUGGCGAAGGCGGCUUCCUGGACCAACACUGACGCUGAGGUGCGAAAGCGUGGGGAGCAAACAGGAUUAGAUACCCUAGUAGUCC
rnacentral:rRNA from 1 species